GACGAACGCUGGCGGCGUGCCUAAUACAUGCAAGUCGAACGCUUCUUUCCUCCCGAGUGCUUGCACUCAAUUGGAAAGAGGAGUGGCGGACGGGUGAGUAACACGUGGGUAACCUACCCAUCAGAGGGGGAUAACACUUGGAAACAGGUGCUAAUACCGCAUAACAGUUUAUGCCGCAUGGCAUAAGAGUGAAAGGCGCUUUCGGGUGUCGCUGAUGGAUGGACCCGCGGUGCAUUAGCUAGUUGGUGAGGUAACGGCUCACCAAGGCCACGAUGCAUAGACGACCUGAGAGGGUGAUCGGCCACACUGGGACUGAGACGCGGCCCAGACUCCUACGGGAGGCAGCAGUAGGGAAUCUUCGGCAAUGGACGAAAGUCUGACCGAGCAACGCCGCGUGAGUGAAGAAGGUUUUCGGAUCGUAAAACUCUGUUGUUAGAGAAGAACAAGGACGUUAGUAACUGAACGUCCCCUGACGGUAUCUAACCAGAAAGCCACGGCUAACUACGUG
rnacentral:rRNA from 1 species